CCCCUCGAUUUGCGGCGCCUUCUCUGCCGCCUGCCGGCCCCUUACGCGUUACCGCAAACCACGUUUUUGUUGUCGUUUUGCUGAGCUUGUGCCUUUGUGAAAGAAAGGAAGGAAAGAAAGAAAAAAGAGANGACGACUUUUGACGGUGGAUCUCUUGGCUCGCGCAUCGAUGAAGAACGCAGCCAGCUGCGAUGAGUAGUGUGAAUUGCAGAAUUCAGUGAAUCAUCGAGUCUUUGAACGCAAAUGGCGCUCUUGGGUUCUCCCAGGAGCAUGUCUGUCUGAGUGUCGGAUUGUACNCCAUCGCGGCUGGACCGUUUCCGUCAGCCGCGGCGUUGAGGCGACACGACGCGUUCCCGGUUAGGUCGUGUCCCUCGAAACAGAGCGUAGCCCCGUUGCCGCAGCGGUCGCGUCCGACUCUGUCCGCCAAAAGGGGAGGGUUAAGACCUCCUUUCCCUGGACGGAGAAGGGCCAAAGGCAGUAGAACGAA
rnacentral:rRNA from 1 species